AUUAAGUUAAAUGAAAACGCUAACAAAGGAGUUGGAUAUUCAAUGGGUACUAUUGUUUGUCAGGAUUGUCAGGGGAUCAUUGAUCACUAUGAGGAUGAGAAGGUAUCAACUCUUUACGGAACGUGCACCACUUGUAACGAAGAUGAAUAACUAAGAGGGUUCUAG
rnacentral:sRNA from 1 species